UGAGGAAUAUUGGUCAAUGGGCGCGAGCCUGAACCAGCCAAGUAGCGUGAAGGAUGAAGGUCCUACGGAUUGUAAACUUCUUUUAUAAGGGAAUAAAGUCAUCUACGUGUAGGUGUUUGUAUGUACCUUAUGAAUAAGCAUCGGCUAACUCCGUGCCAGCAGCCGCGGUAAUACGGAGGAUGCGAGCGUUAUCCGGAUUUAUUGGGUUUAAAGGGAGCGUAGACGGGUCGUUAAGUCAGCUGUGAAAGUUUGGGGCUCAACCUUAAAAUUGCAGUUGAUACUGGCGUCCUUGAGUACGGUUGAGGCAGGCGGAAUUCGUGGUGUAGCGGUGAAAUGCUUAGAUAUCACGAAGAACCCCGAUUGCGAAGGCAGCCUGCUAAACCGCCACUGACGUUGAGGCUCGAAAGUGUGGGUAUCAAACAGGAUUAGAUACCCUGGUAGUCCACACGGUAAACGAUGGAUACUCGCUGUUGGCGAUAGACUGUCAGCGGCUUAGCGAAAGCGUUAAGUAUCCUACCUGGGGAGUACGCCGGCAACGGUGAAACUCAAAGGAAUUGACGGGGGCCCGCACAAGCGGAGGAACAUGUGGUUUAAUUCGAUGAUACGCGAGGAACCUUACCCGGGCUUGAAUUGCAGACGAAUUGCUUGGAAACAGGCAAGCCCCAAGGCGUCUGUGAAGGUGCUGCAUGGUUGUCGUCAGCUCGUGCCGUGAGGUGUCGGCUUAAGUGCCAUAACGAGCGCAACCCUCGUGUCCAGUUACUAGCAGGUUAUGCUGAGGACUCUGGACAGACUGCCAUCGUAAGAUGUGAGGAAGGUGGGGAUGACGUCAAAUCAGCACGGCCCUUACGUCCGGGGCUACACACGUGUUACAAUGGGGGGUACAGCAGGCAGCUACCGGGCGACCGGAUGCCAAUCCCCAAAGCCUCUCUCAGUUCGGACUGGAGUCUGCAACCCGACUCCACGAAGCUGGAUUCGCUAGUAAUCGCGCAUCAGCCACGGCGCGGUGAAUACGUUCCC
rnacentral:rRNA from 1 species